rnacentral:misc_RNA from 1 species
AAGUCGUAACAAGGUUUCCGUAGGUGAACCUGCGGAAGGAUCAUUAUCGUACAACUGAGGCACGAGGGCUGUCGCUGACUUUUCGUCGUGCACGCCCAAGUGCUCUCAAACAUCCAUCUCACCCCUAUGUGCACCACCGCGUGGGUCCCCCUUUGGCUCGUCCCGAGGGGGGCUCGCGUUUUCACACAAACUCGAUACAGUGUAGAAUGUCUUUCUUUGCGAUGACACGCAAUUAAUACAACUUUCAACAACGGAUCUCUUGGCUCUC